CUAUGUUUCAAAUGUUUAGUAACUGCAUUACAGUGUUUUAUUUUUUAAAGUCCUCCUAUCAAGAAGUGUCAUGAUGAUGUCUGGCAACUAUAAUAACUCCACUCUGACUUGAGUCCACAUUUUCAGAAUGAGGAAAGAUCACCACAUGAAAUCUGGUUUUCAAAAUGGAUUCAAUGCCAAAAUAGCUUAAGGAGUUCAUAUAAUGUACACAUGAAGAGAAAGGAGAAGUGAGCCAGAGAUACCCGAAUACAACUCUCCUCUCCAAAACCAACAACCUUGUGCAAGAGAACGACGUGAUAUUAAAAGAUUUGGAUAAUGCAUUUUAUCAGGUCAUUGUGCAUCAAAUAUUUGAAGGAAAGUGUGCCAUAGCACAAAGCUAGAGGAAAAACAAGAUAAAAAGAUAAAAACAAUUUUUUUUUUUUUGAGAGAGAGAGAGAGUAUGCAAGGGGAACAAGAGAGAGAAUCUUUUUUUUUUCCUUUUUCUUUUUUC
rnacentral:lncRNA from 1 species